UUCAUUUCUUCUGAUAACCCAAUAGACAAAACCAAAACAGUUGUGCUUGCAAACAAAGAAUUCACUUUAAUGAAAUGCCAACGGUCAUUGUAAUUUAUAGUUUGAAUUUAGGAUUGCUAGUUUCCCAAAACAAUGGGUUGUGUCCCUGAAGGAUAUUGUUACCAGGUUCUUGUUGGUAAAUGUGUUGCCAUUUGCUCCUAUUUUCUUUUGGGGAUUGUAAGUAGUCUUACAAUGUUGUGAAAAAACAGUACAGUAAUGUGACAGAACUAACUCAUGCUGUAACUUUUAUGUGCUUAAACUGUUUUCUGAAGUUGUAUUUCAGGUGGAGUAGUCAGACACUAUUUCCUUUCUGAUAGUGAAUAAUGUCAAUAGCUUUGUUUGUCAUCCUAUUUAUAGUAGCAAGUUCAAAGGGAGUCUUCCAAUGUACUGCAUAGUAAGUACAUAUUUUCACUUUUUUUUCCUGACCUGCCAUCCAGUUGUUGGAGGAAGAAAGAAAGACCUAACAGGAGAAAAAAUCCAAAUCUACAACAGGAAUCUAAAAUAAAUAUGAAAAAUUGAUCCCUCUAGGUCCUGAAAUUUUCCAAACUCAGGCUCCACUGGAAUCCACUGGUACCACUGCCAAGGAGUUCAGUUCCCUGGAUAGAUUUUGUUUGCUUACCCAACUCACUUUGACUUUUUGUCUAUUGUUUUUGAUUCCCUGCCUACUGACAACAUAUCAGCCUGUUUCAUUUCUAAAGACAAACCCAAAUAAGCACCCUAGCUGCAUGGGUAAGAGACAAUCAACUUAGUGAUGUCCUGCAUUUUGUGCUUUUCUUUUGGCAACAGCCAUGUAAAAUGCUAUGUGAACUGGCUGAUGUGUGACCUCAGACCCCAAGACUGAAAAUAACUGUCUUCCUCUGGUCAGAAGUGUAGUGAGGAAAGCCAUGGGGAAAGACUAUGUGGCCAGAGCUGAUGGAGUGUUGGGAUGUACUGAAGGUGGAAGGAGAUGGUCUACUUGUGGUGUCACUUUUCUUUGCUGCCAGUGUGACUUCCCAUGAACUGCAUGUGCAUAGUUCCUCCAUGAGGAAUAGACCUCAGUAUCAGAAGUAGGAAGGAACUCAUUUUGAAAGAACAACUCUUACAGAGAUUCAAACUGAGAUAACUGCAGAUUCCUUAACCUGGUGUGCACUGGAAGUGGUUUCUUUCCAGCAAAUUCCUGGUCUGAAAACACAGCCUCAUGUCUACCAGCAAGAUGAAGCAAUUUCCCAGCAUUUUACUCCUCUAACAUGCCACACACCAACUGGCACAGAAGUUGUUAGCAGUUGGUAUUGUGCUGGUCUCAUUAAUAACAUUUUCCUGUAUGGUGAUGAAAUAUACUUAUCAGAUGAAAGAUAUGUACCUGGUAAGUGACAUGAACUCAGCAGGUAACUUCUUGUACUAUUUUCUAUUUGGUCCAAAGAAAUUUUCCUUCUGAACAGACAAUAGAUUUCUUAGCAUAGCAGUUCAUUGGAGGAUGGAAUUCAGCUGCUUGAGAUUUGAACAAUCAAAAGCAAUAUUGCUUAAACUACAGCUUAUGGAGUAUUUAUGGGUGAGUUGGAUCAUUCUUGUAACCUAUUGUAACCCAUGAUGCACUAGCAGCGAUGUAUUUUGCUGGAAAGACCCCAGUGGCCUCCUGUCAUGUACUAGCUGCAGGUCUGUCUGUGGGAGGUUGGCAGUCUGGCCAGGAGGCAGUCACAGGGCUCUUGGGAGUGACAUCUCUGGGGACCUGGCUGUGCUUAUUUGCUCUGGCUCUUGCAGUCUAUUUGUCUGUCACUGUUGGGCCAAAGAGUUUUGGAUGUUGGCUGAAAGCAGACUGAGCAGAUUUGCUGCAUGUGGGUUGGUUGUAUUGCCCACUGACCAGCGUGUCUCGCACUAGUGUCACAUGAAUGUCAUAGCCUAUACUAAUAAAAUAAAUACAGCCUGCAUGCACUACCAGGGGUGUUAGGUAGCACUGUUUAAGUCCAAAAUCUAUAGCUUUGAUUUAUUUAUAUGCCAGAGUUUUAUAUUUUCUCCAAUUAACCUGUUUUCUUCAAGAAUAGAGUAUAAUAAUGUGAUGUGUAAUAGUAAUCUGUGAUUCAGUGGACACAUAUAGCUUUGAUUCUGUGUCACAGCAAUCUUAUUAACCCCUUGAAUAUUUUGGAGUGUAUUCACAUAUAGAAAUUUGACAAUGGCUGAAGUCAUCAAAAUUCCUGCUACCCUUGCUACCCUUUAUUCUGGGAUUAAGAACAGUUUAGGUGUUAAAUCAUCAAAUAUCUUUUUGCCUUUCAACUUUUUGUUCUUUAUUAGCAGAGAAUGUUAUUUUUUAUCCUGGAGUAUAAUUAUGUUCCCAAGGUUCAGGUCAUUCAGAUUUUUCCAAGAAGAAGAAAGCUGGCCAAGAGUACAUCUGGAAACAAUGUUGAAAGCAGACAAUUUCUGUAUGCUGAACUAUCUGUAAAAUCUGGAAGUUGAACAGAAAGGCCUCACACCUCUGCUGUUCCAGUAGGGAAGCAAAUGUUUGAGUUGCUUCUGUAAUAAUACCUAUCACUUGGACUACUGUCAACAGUAGAUUGGAUAUUUGUUCUUUUUUAUUAUGAAACUUUUAAUAAUGGGCUGCCCUUACAAUUACAGUGAUUGAUCUUUCAUAUGCCUGUAUGACUCUGACCUGUUAAUUUUUGGGAGAUACAAAUGCAGGAAGACAACUUGCCCAGACUUGAAGGAUCUGCCCAAACCCAAUUUGACUUGUACUGAAAACUUAUUAAAUCUUCAAAUGCA